CCCGCCGCGGGAAAUGGCGGCGCCACGAGGGGAGCUCAUGGCGGCGGGGGCCCGGCCCCUCUCCGCUGGCGGCGGGCUGAGGUGCCUGGGGGCGGCCGGCCGGCAGCGGGAGAGCGGCGGAGCUCGGGCACGGCCUCCCGCGCUCGCUUGCACACGGAAAGGCCCCGUGGCCCUGCGGCCGGAACGGCUCCCGGGCCGUGGCGCCGAGGCCCGGGCUGCCCGCGGCUCGGCCCGUGAGCGCCGUGUCCCUUGCGGGAGCUGCCGCCGUGAUGCGCGUCCCGCCGGGAGCCCCGGGCCACGGCCGGCGCGGGGCCCGUGAAGAGGCGCUCCCGCCUGGGGCCCAGGCCCUUUGUUCCCGGCUCCAGCACUGGGUGAGGAGGGACACUGGACAUGCCUUGGAUUACGAUAGUUCUGUCACUGCCUUAGCAGUCCUGUGCCAUGCCUGGUGACGACCAUGGGGCCAUUCUCCUGAGCAGAGAGAGACAUUCUCCUGUACUCAGCCACUGGCAGCAUAAUAACGGAGCUGUUUGGUACCUGUGGAGUCCCACUGCAGGGGUGUCUGAACACCUUGAAUUUGGCUCAGAAAACCUACCCUUGCACAGUCCAGUGAGAGGGUUGUGAAGUCCUGGGGACCUGCCAGUUCAGUUCACCAACUGGAAAGUAUUUGCCAGGUUACAGCUGUGGUUUAAACACUUGAGGUGAAAGCUGGUGGUUGGGAGUGGAAUCAUAGGUUCACCAGCAGCCUUUGUGCAUUAGAGGCUCUAUUAGGAAGUUCAUAUGUCCUGAUACCUCUGCUCUGAUACCUGUGUGUUAUGCUCUUUCAGGUAUCUAAGAUUGUGGCUCCCAGUUUUUGACUGAUAGGGGUGAAACAUGUCCCAGUGGGUAGAAGUUGGCCCCAGAGUAAAGGAGUACAUUUUUAAGCAAAGAAUGAUGCUAUCUCACCGCUUCCAUCCCCUGCACAGGAGCUGUACCAUAUAGCUGCUGUUCCCUGGGAUGGCCAUGCCAGCAUCAGCAGGGCACGCAUGGCCGCAAGCUGCUCUGCUCACUGGCAGACCAAGCAACUGAAAGUCUCUGGCCUGCUUACAGCAGGUCUGACAAAGUGACCAUAACAACCUUUUCUGCCCUGAAAAUACCUUUAUUGCUGGUAGGUUAAGAAAUGAUGCUGUGCUGGUAUAGCUCAGUGUUUGUAAACCCAUCUUCUGAGGCUUUUGAAACAGAUAUCCAAGAGCAGCUGGUACUAAUCACUGCUGUAGUGACAUACUCAGCUCCUGUUUUUGUGGUUUCUAAAGGCCUGUUUUGGUAAGACCUUUUUUAAGCUAUUGGAGAAAGAACAGACAAGCUUUUGAUACAUAGUUCUGUGUAAAAUCUCUUUAGUUUUGCCAACGGCAUUUAUUUGUAGAGACCCUGCAUAUUGUAGAGGCCACUGCUUGUUCCUGGUGAUUCCCUAGAAUGGAAACUUGAACCAAUAAUUUUUGUAAUGAAUGUGCAAUAAAUCUGUGGAAAAGC